AGUGAACGCUGGCGGUAGGCCUAACACAUGCAGGUCGAACGGCAGCACAGUAAGAGCUUGCUCUUACGGGUGGCGAGUGGCGGACGGGUGAGGAAUACAUCGGAAUCUACUUUUUCGUGGGGGAUAACGUAGGGAAACUUACGCUAAUACCGCAUACGACCUACGGGUGAAAGCAUGGGAUCUUCGGACCUUGCGCGAUUGAAUGAGCCGAUGUCGGAUUAGCUAGUUGGCGGGGUAAAGGCCCACCAAGGCGACGAUCCGUAGCUGGUCUGAGAGGAUGGUCAGCCACACUGGAACUGAGACACGGUCCAGACUCCUACGGGAGGCAGCAGUGGGGAAUAUUGGACAAUGGGCGCAAGCCUGAUCCAGCCAUACCGCGUGGGUGAAGAAGGCCUUCGGGUUGUAAAGCCCUUUUGUUGGGAAAGAAAAGCAGCAGGUUAAUACCCCGCUGUUCUGACGGUACCCAAAGAAUAAGCACCGGCUAACUUCGUG
rnacentral:rRNA from 1 species